GUUAUUUUGGCAGAAUAGUGCAAUAGAUUUAGAAUCUUUAUAUGUAAUUGUAUUACAAAUAAUA
rnacentral:tRNA from 1 species